ACUCAAAUGAAUUGACGGGGACCUGCACAAGCGGUGGAGCAUGUGGUUUAAUUCGACGCAACGCGAAGAACCUUACCUAGGUUAAAUCAAAGUUGUAAGGCUGAGAGAUCAGUCCCCCUCGCAAGAGGCGGCUUUGAAGGUGCUGCAUGGCUGUCGUCAGCUCGUGUCGUGAGAUGUUGGGUUAAGUCCCGCAACGAGCGCAACCCUUACCAUUAGUUGCCAGCAUUUAGUUGGGGACUCUAGUGGAACUGCCGGUGAUAAACCGGAGGAAGGUGGGGAUGACGUCAAGUCAUCAUGGCCUUUAUGUCUAGGGCUACACACGUGCUACAAUGGACGGUACAGACCGCUGCAAACCCGCGAGGGGGAGCUAAUCGGAAAAAACCGUUCUCAGUUCGGAUUGGAGUCUGCAACUCGACUCCAUGAAGUUGGAAUCGCUAGUAAUCGCGGAUCAGCACGCCGCGGUGAAUACGUUCCCAGGUCUUGUACACACCGCCCGU
rnacentral:rRNA from 1 species